UUUUUUAUUACUGUAAUUAUAAUUUUUUUUAUUGUAAGUCUAUGUAAUAAUGUUAUAAAACUGGUAAUUCUAAUAAAAUUUUGCAUAGACUAUGUCACGUGGGGCCAAAAUGAAGCAGGUCCUAUCAGCCGUCAAUGAAGGACAAAAUAUCAAUGUGAAAAGAUUAGCGACGGCGGAGCGCGCGGGGAGGCAAAAUUCUCAGUGCCUUACGCGGGGUGUCAAAUUUCGAUCGAUUUAACCCUGCAUCGAACACAAAGACCUAACCCCGUCCCUUCUCCCACUCCGUCCGCCGCCCCCAUCCCAUCGUCGCUGCCCCGCAUCCCUCCUACUCCUCCUCGAGCCUCCUGCAUCGCAUACUCAUAGCAGCGCCGUGCAGAUCCGUCAAAGACGGUGAGUCGCCCUUCUCUCAUAGCAGGGCCGCCAACCUCUUCGUCCUCGUCCUCAUCCACAAUAGACGUUGCAUGGAUCUCCAGAGACGGCGCACUGGUGACGCGGGUCUCGACAAGGCCGGCAUCAGUGGCCUUCAUCGAGGCCAAGAACUCAUGGAGCUUCAGAUCUCCAUCAGAACUAUCUGUAAGGGAAUACGGUUAGUCCAAAGUCGUUUUUUUAGCUUUUCCAUCCGCUAUUGACAUAGCUGUAGACUUUCGAUCUCUGUUUAACUCCGAUGUUAGUGCUGCCGGGAUUGUCCUUGGUGGGGUGGCGACAAUGCGUUCAGGUCCACUCACGCCUGGCUGCUGCUGCACGUUCAAGCAUGACCAGUCCCGUCGCCGGCAUCACAGGACGAGUGGCAGCCUAGAAGCAGUUUCUAUCACAGACGACGGGCUCAGAUUGUUGUGCAUAGAAAAAACAUUAUGCACGCCAUGGAUGCAUGUUAAUAUAUUUAUAGUCUAUACCGUCGUGUGUUGGAUGUGGUACUUUUUACAUGUUGGAGUAGUACUAAUAAGUCUCUAAUUAAUCCAGCAAUUCAGCGUGCGUGCGUAGUGUGUUGUAUCUAGCAAGAACCGAUCAGUCUGAUGGUUAGCUUUCUAACUAUUGUGUACGUUGAUUCAUUGUUAAUCAAUUAAUACAGAUGGAGUUUGCUUUGUGCAGGAUCAUGUCAAAGAGGAAUUUCCAUCCUUUGUCGUCAUCAUGGUCACCCCAUGCCGAAAAGUACUCUCGUAUGAAUGGACCAAGUCGGUGAAUCGUCAUCAGCGAGCUAGAACGUUCGAUGGGUUCACUCACAUAUAUUUUCUCAAAAGAUAAGGGAUGUAAAAUAUAGAAUCUUCCAACUUUCGGAGACAAUGUGUCUUUGAAGGGGAAAGUCUAAAUGUUGGACAAAGCAUAUUGGACUACAAAGUUAUCCACGCAGCAAGAUGAAGUAGCAAGAUCCAAAGAACUAGUUGGACUGGACUCUACAUCAUGGACACUUUAGUCUUCGUAGUUAAUUAGGAUGGCUAAAUUACAUUUGAGUUUCAUUUGAUGGAUAUUUGCUAUGAGAAUUAUGAAUUUUAUGAAUCUACAUAUCAUACAUAUGGUUUUGAA